rnacentral:rRNA from 1 species
AUGGCUCAGAUGAACGCUGGCGGCAGGCCUAACACAUGCAAGUCGAACGGUAACAGGAAGAAGCUUGCUCUUGCUGACGAGUGGCGGACGGGUGAGUAAUGUCUGGGAAACUGCCUGAUGGAGGGGGAUAACUACUGGAAACGGUAGCUAAUACCGCAUAACGUCGCAAGACCAAAGAGGGGGGACCUUCGGGCCUCUUGCCAUCGGAUGUGCCCAGAUGGGAUUAGCUUGUUGGUGGGGUAACGGCUCACCAAGGCGACGAUCCCUAGCUGGUCUGGGAGGAUGACCAGCCACACUGGAACUGAGACACGGUCCAGACUCCUACGGGAGGCAGCAGUGGGGAAUAUUGCACAAUGGGCGCAAGCCUGAUGCAGCCAUGCCCGCGUGUAUGAAGAAGGCCUUCGGGUUGUAAAGUACUUUCAGCGGGGAGGAAGGGAGUAAAGUUAAUACCUUUGCUCAUUGACGUUACCCGCAGAAGAAGCACCGGCUAACUCCGUGCCAGCCGCCGC